rnacentral:rRNA from 1 species
UACGUAGGGUGCAAGCGUUAAUCGGAAUUACUGGGCGUAAAGCGUGCGCAGGCGGUUGUGCAAGACAGAUGUGAAAUCCCCGGGCUUAACCUGGGAACUGCAUUUGUGACUGCACGGCUGGAGUGCGGCAGAGGGGGAUGGAAUUCCGCGUGUAGCAGUGAAAUGCGUAGAUAUGCGGAGGAACACCGAUGGCGAAGGCAAUCCCCUGGGCCUGCACUGACGCUCAUGCACGAAAGCGUGGGGAGCAAACAGG